GUGACGAGGGCACUAAGACACCGAGACGAUGAUGUUUAGCGGGGCCAAGAGGUUGUACCGCCACACUGGGAUUGAGAUACGGCCCAGACUCCUACGGGAGGCAGCAGUAAGGAAUAUUCCACAAUAAGCGAAAGCUUGAUGGAGCGACACAGCGUGCAGGAUGAAGUCUUUCGGGAUGUAAACUGCUGUUGUAAGGGAAGAAAAAACUAGAUAGGAAAUGCUCUAGUCUUGACGGUACCUUAUUAGAAAGCGACGGCAAACUAUGUGCCAGCAGCCGCGGUAAUACAUAGGUCGCAAGCGUUAUCCGGAAUUAUUGGGCGUAAAGCGUCCGUAGGUUUUUUGUUAAGUUUAAAGUUAAAUGCUAAAGCUCAACUUUAGUCCGCUUUAGAUACUGGCAAAAUAGAAUUAUGAAGAGGUUAGCGGAAUUCCUAGUGGAGUGGUGGAAUACGUAGAUAUUAGGAAGAACACCAAUAGGCGAAGGCAGCUAACUGGUCAUAUAUUGACACUAAGGGACGAAAGCGUGGGGAGCAAACAGGAUUAGAUACCCUGGUAGUCCACGCCGUAAACGAUGAUCAUUACUUGGUGGCAAAAGCACCAAACAAAAAAAAA
rnacentral:rRNA from 2 species